rnacentral:rRNA from 1 species
CACGUAGGAGGCGAGCGUUGUCCGGAAUCAUUGGGCGUAAAGAGCGCGCAGGCGGCUUGGCAAGUCGGGUGUGAAAUCCCGGGGCUCAACCCCGUGACUGCAUCCGAUACUGUCAGGCUAGAGGUAGGUAGGGGAGAUCGGAAUUCCUGGUGUAGCGGUGAAAUGCGCAGAUAUCAGGAGGAACACCGGUGGCGAAGGCGGAUCUCUGGGCCUUACCUGACGCUCAGGUGCGAAAGCUAGGGGAGCGAACAGG